rnacentral:rRNA from 1 species
UACGAAGGGGGCUAGCGUUGCUCGGAAUCACUGGGCGUAAAGCGCACGUAGGCGGAUUCUUAAGUCAGGGGUGAAAUCCUGGAGCUCAACUCCAGAACUGCCUUUGAUACUGGGAGUCUCGAGUCCGGGAGAGGUGAGUGGAACUGCGAGUGUAGAGGUGAAAUUCGUAGAUAUUCGCAAAGAACACCAGUGGCGAAGGCGGCUCACUGGCCCGGUACUGACGCUGAGGUGCGGAAAGCGUGGGGAGCAACAGGGAUUAAG